rnacentral:rRNA from 1 species
UACGUAGGGUGCGAGCGUUGUCCGGAAUUAUUGGGUGUAAAGAGCUCGUAGGCGGCUUGUCGCGUCGGAUGUGAAAGCCCGGGGCUUAACUCCGGGUCUGCAUUCGAUACGGGCAGGCUAGAGUGUGGUAGGGGAGAUCGGAAUUCCUGGUGUAGCGGUGAAAUGCGCAGAUAUCAGGAGGAACACCGGUGGCGAAGGCGGGUCUCUGGGCCAAUACUGACGCUGAGGAGCGAAAGCGUGGGGAGCGAACAGG